GACGAACGCUGGCGGCGUGCUUAACACAUGCAAGUCGAACGGAAAGGCCCUGCUUUUGUGGGGUGCUCGAGUGGCGAACGGGUGAGUAACACGUGAGUAACCUGCCCUUGACUUUGGGAUAACUUCAGGAAACUGGGGCUAAUACCGGAUAGGAACUCCUGCUGCAUGGUGGGGGUUGGAAAGUUUCGGCGGUUGGGGAUGGACUCGCGGCUUAUCAGCUUGUUGGUGGGGUAGUGGCUUACCAAGGCUUUGACGGGUAGCCGGCCUGAGAGGGUGACCGGCCACAUUGGGACUGAGAGACGGACCAGACUCCUACGGGAGGCAGCAGUGGGGAAUAUUGCACAAUGGGCGGAAGCCUGAUGCAGCAACGCCGCGUGCGGGAUGACGGCCUUCGGGUUGUAAACCGCUGUCGCCUGUGACGAAGCGUGAGUGACGGUAAUGGGUAAAGAAGCACCGGCUAACUACGUG
rnacentral:rRNA from 1 species